UUGGGAACAUGUCCAUGUUCGUGGGGGAUAGCCCGGCGAAAGCCGGAUUAAUACCGCAUACGCCCGAGGGGGGAAAGUGGGGGACCGCAAGGCCUCACGCGAUUGGGUUGGCCGAUGUCCGAUUAGCUAGUUGGCGGGGUAAGAGCCCACCAAGGCGAUGAUCGGUAGCGGGUCUGAGAGGAUGAUCAGCCACACUGGGACUGAGACACGGCCCAGACUCCUACGGGAGGCAGCAGUGGGGAAUUUUGGACAAUGGGGGCAACCCUGAUCCAGCCAUUCCGCGUGAGUGAAGAAGGCCUUCGGGUUGUAAAGCUCUUUUGUCCGGAACGAAACGGUUGGCGUGAAUAUCGCCGACUACUGACGGUACCGGAAGAAUAAGCAC
rnacentral:rRNA from 1 species